rnacentral:RNase_P_RNA from 1 species
GAAGCUGACCAGACAGUCGCCGCUUCGUCGUCGUCCUCUUCGGGGGAGACGGGCGGAGGGGAGGAAAGUCCGGGCUCCAUAGGGCAGGGUGCCAGGUAACGCCUGGGGGGGGGAAACCCACGACCAGUGCAACAGAGAGCAAACCGCCGAUGGCCCGCGCAAGCGAGAUCAGGUAAGGGUGAAAGGGUGCGGUAAGAGCGCACCGCGCGGCUGGUAACAGUCCGUGGCACGGUAAACUCCACCCGGAGCAAGGCCAAAUAGGGGUUCAUAAGGUACGGCCCGUACUGAACCCGGGUAGGCUGCUUGAGCCAGUGAGCGAUUGCUGGCCUAGAUGAAUGACUGUCCACGACAGAACCCGGCUUAUCGGUCAGUUUCACCU